rnacentral:rRNA from 1 species
GACGAACGCUGGCGGCGUGCUUAACACAUGCAAGUCGAACGGAAAGGCCCUGCUUUUGUGGGGUGCUCGAGUGGCGAACGGGUGAGUAACACGUGAGUAACCUGCCCUUGACUUUGGGAUAACUUCAGGAAACUGGGGCUAAUACCGGAUAGGAGCUCCUGCUGCAUGGUGGGGGUUGGAAAGUUUCGGCGGUUGGGGAUGGACUCGCGGCUUAUCAGCUUGUUGGUGGGGUAGUGGCUUACCAAGGCUUUGACGGGUAGCCGGCCUGAGAGGGUGAUCGGCCACAUUGGGACUGAGAUACGGCCCAGACUCCUUCGGGAGGCAGCAGUGGGGAAUAUUGCACAAUGGGCCGAAGCCUGAUGCAGCAACGCCGCGUGCGGGAUGACGGCCUUCGGGUUGUAAACCGCUUGCGCCUGUGACGAAGCGGGAGUGACGGUAAUGUGUAAAGAAGCACCGGCUAACUACGUG